CUCAGAGACUGAUCUUGAGAGAGCGAAAAGCUCUCAACACAGUGAGAUAGUUAGAAAACUAUCAGACGCCGAACUCCCGAUGCAAAAUCGGGAUGAUGAUAUAGUCCGAUCCUCAUGGUGACAUGAGAAAAUAUCUUUCCAAAAGAAAGGCCAGCAGCAGCGGUAAUACGAGUGCUUCGAGCGUUAUCCGGAAUCAUUGGGCGUAAAGGGUGUGUAGGCGGUCAUGUUAGUCUCGCGUUAAAUGCUCCGGCUCAACCGGAGCGCCGCGUGGGAAACGGCAUGGCUUGAGGACGGUAGGGGUCACUGGAACUCUAGGUGUAGCGGUGAAAUGCGUUGAUAUCUAGGGGAACACCAAAAGCGAAGGCAGGUGACUGGACCGCUCCUGACGCUGAAACACGAAAGCGUGGGUCGCGAAUGGGAUUAGAUACCCCAGUAGUCCACGCCCUAAACGAUGAUCUCUCGCUUUGAGGAGUAUCGACCCUCUUCGAGGCUAAGCUAACGCGAUAAGAGAUCCGCCUGGGUAGUACGGCCGCAAGGUUGAAACUCAAAGGAAUAGACGGGGACUUGCACAAGCG
rnacentral:rRNA from 1 species